rnacentral:rRNA from 1 species
AUUGAACGCUGGCGGCAUGCCUAACACAUGCAAGUCGAACGGCAGCACAAUAUGUAGCAAUACAUAUGGGUGGCGAGUGGCGGACGGGUGCGUAAUGUGUAGGGAUCUGCCCUGAAGUGGGGGACAACCCGGGGAAACUCGGGCUAAUACCGCAUAAUACUCUACGGAGGAAAUCUGGCUACGCAAGUAGCUGGGGCUUUAGGAUGAACCUACAUCCGAUUAGCUAGUUGGUGAGGUAAUGGCUCACCAAGGCGAUGAUCGGUAGCUGGUCUGAGAGGAUGACCAGCCACACUGGGACUGAGACACGGCCCAGACUCCUACGGGAGGCAGCAGUGGGGAAUAUUGGACAAUGGGGGAAACCCUGAUCCAGCAAUGCCGCGUGGGUGAAGAGGGCCUUCGGGUUGUAAAGCCCUUUAGGCGGGGAAGAAGGUUUUAGGGUGAUAAGCCUUAAAAUUUGACGGUACCCGCAGAAUAAGCACCGGCUAACUCUGUGCCAGCCGCCGCAGUAA